CAGCAGCCGCGGUAAUACGGAGGGGGCUAGCGUUGUGCGGAAUUACUGGGCGUAAAGCGCACGUAGGUGGCCUUGUAAGUCAGUGGUGAAAUCUCUGGGCUUAACCCAGAAAUUGCCAUUGAUACUGCAGGGCUUGAGUAUAGAUGCCGUUGGCGGAAUAUGACAUGUAGUGGUGAAAUACAUAGAGAUGUCAUAGAACACCGAUUGCGAAGGCAGCUGACGAAACUAUAACUGACACUGAGGCUCGAAAGUGUGGGGAUCA
rnacentral:rRNA from 1 species